AAGUUUUAUUUCUCUUUUACUUUUUUUUAAGUAGGCUCCAUGCCCAGCAUGGAGCCCAA
ensembl:snRNA U7 U7 small nuclear RNA